GACGAACGCUGGCGGCGUGCUUAACACAUGCAAGUCGAACGAUGAAGCCGGAGCUUGCUCUGGUGAAUUAGUGGCGAACGGGUGAGUAACACGUGAGUAACCUGCCCUUGACUCUGGGAUAACUGCUAGAAAUGGUAGCUAAUACCGGAUACGACCCUCGGAGGCAUCUUCAGGGGGUGGAAAGAAUUUCGGUCAAGGAUGGACUCGCGGCCUAUCAGCUAGUUGGGGAGGUAACGGCUCACCAAGGCGACGACGGGUAGCCGGCCUGAGAGGGUGACCGGCCACACUGGGACGGAGACACGGCCCAGACUCCUACGGGAGGCAGCAGUGGGGAAUAUUGCACAAUGGGCGCAAGCCUGAUGCAGCAACGCCGCGUGAGGGAUGACGGCCUUCGGGUUGUAAACCUCUUUUAGUAGGGAAGAAGCGAAAGUGACGGUACCUGCAGAAAAAGCACCGGCUAACUACGUGCCAGCAGCCGCCGUAA
rnacentral:rRNA from 1 species